rnacentral:rRNA from 1 species
CAGUCGAACGAUGAUGCCCAGCUUGCUGGGCGGAUUAGUGGCGAACGGGUGAGUAAUACGUGAGUAACCUGCCCUUGACUCUGGGAUAAGCCUGGGAAACUGGGUCUAAUACUGGAUACUACCUCUUACCGCAUGGUGGGUGGUGGAAAGGGUUUUACUGGUUUUGGAUGGGCUCACGGCCUAUCAGCUUGUUGGUGGGGUAAUGGCUCACCAAGGCGACGACGGGUAGCCGGCCUGAGAGGGUGACCGGCCACACUGGGACUGAGACACGGCCCAGACUCCUACGGGAGGCAGCAGUGGGGAAUAUUGCACAAUGGGCGGAAGCCUGAUGCAGCGACGCCGCGUGAGGGAUGACGGCCUUCGGGUUGUAAACCUCUUUCAGUAGGGAAGAAGCGAGAGUGACGGUACCUGCAGAAGAAGCGCCGGCUAACUACGUGCCAGCAGCCGCGGUAAUACGUAGGGCGCAAGCGUUGUCCGGAAUUAUUGGGCGUAAAGAGCUCGUAGGCGGUUUGUCGCGUCUGCUGUGAAAGCCCGGGGCUCAACCCCGGGUCUGCAGUGGGUACGGGCAGACUAGAGUGCAGUAGGGGAGACUGGAAUUCCUGGUGUAGCGGUGAAAUGCGCAGAUAUCAGGAGGAACACCGAUGGCGAAGGCAGGUCUCUGGGCUGUUACUGACGCUGAGGAGCGAAAGCAUGGGGAGCGAACAGGAUUAGAUACCCUGGUAGUCCAUGCCGUANACGUUGGGCACUAGGUGUGGGGGACAUUCCACGUUUUCCGCGCCGUAGCUAACGCAUUAAGUGCCCCGCCUGGGGAGUACGGCCGCAAGGCUAANACUCAAAGGAAUUGACGGGGGCCCGCACAAGCGGCGGAGCAUGCGGAUUAAUUCGAUGNCACGCGAAGAACCUUACCAAGGCUUGACAUUCACCGGACC